rnacentral:rRNA from 1 species
UAGGGAAUCUUCCACAAUGGACGCAAGUCUGAUGGAGCAACGCCGCGUGAGUGAAGAAGGUUUUCGGACCGUAAAGCUCUGUUGUUGGUGAAGAAGGAUAGAGGUAGUAACUGGCCUUUAUUUGACGGUAAUCAACCAGAAAGUCACGGCUAACUACGUGCCAGCAGCCGCGGUAAUCGUAGGUGGCAAGCGUUGUCCGGAUUUAUUGGGCGUAAAGCGAGCGCAGGCGGAAGAAUAAGUCUGAUGUGAAAGCCCUCGGCUUAACCGAGGAAUUGCAUCGGAAACUGUUUUCUUGAGUGCAGAAGAGGAGAGUAGAACUCCAUGUGUAGCGGUGGAAUGCGUAGAUAUAUGGAAGAAUACCAGUGGCGAAGGCGGCUCUCUGGUCUGCAACUGACGCUGAGGCUCGAAAGCAUGGGUAGCGAACAGGAUUAGAUACCCUGGUAGUCCAUGCCGUAAACGAUGAGUGCUAAGUGUUGGGAGGCUUCCGCCUCUCAGUGCUGCAGCUAACGCAUUAAGCACUCCGCCUGGGGGAGUACGACCGCAAGGUUGAAACUUAAAGUGAAUUGAC